AGAAUCCUCUUCCUGCCUCUGCCCAUGAGAUCCUCGGUAAGAUCCUAGAGGAGCUUAGAGAAAAAGACUGAGUGAAACCAGACUGGGACUUGUACACUGCAUCUCUCCUUCACUGUCAGCUGCUGUCAGCUUUAAGUGGUCCUUUUGUGGUCACCUGUGCCCAAACAAGAGCCUCUGAGGAAGAGAAAGUCUCUGUCCUUUUACUGAUGCCAAAACGGAGGCCCGUGGAAACUGGCUAGUAGCCAAAAUAACAAGCUUGUUUAAUGGCUGGGCUUUGCUAGGAUUUUAAGACAGUACUAUCAGUAAACAAGGGAUGGUAACGUUUCUACAUAUAGGAUGUGCUCUCACAAGCCUCUGAGCACCAAAGUCGGCACCUCCCAUCUGCUAAGGGUCAACCAAUUUAACAACUAGAACUAAACAUUACAUUUCAUAUUUUAAAUAGAAUGUCAACCAAAGUGGCCUGUGUGCUCCAUAAGUUAAUAACACGUCAUUCAUCAGACCAAAUUAUAUCUCAGUCAAGGUGGAAAGCUGUGGCCCUGGGUUAGUAGCUUACCGAGAAAAUGUGGAAUACUUCGCAAGGUGUUUUAGUAAUACCGAUGUUUAUAUGUUACGGAAAUGUGGAUAAGGGCCAUUUAAGUCCCAUUACUAAGGUAGCCGCAGGGGAAAGGUGCGCGGCGCGCUCGUGACGUCAUUUCGGCGCGACCCUCUUGUAUGCGUAGAUUUUUCAGGCGGCUCCUGGGAACCAUGCCGAAAGUAGUGUCUCGGUCAGUAGUCUGCUCUGACACUCGGGACCGGGAGGAAUAUGAUGAUGGCGAGAAGCCCCUCCAUGUGUACUACUGUUUGUGCGGCCAGAUGGUCCUACUGCUGGACUGUCAGUUAGAGAAACUGCCCAUGAGGCCCCGGGACCGGUCCCGUGUGAUUGAUGCUGCCAAACAUGCCCGUAAGUUUUGUAACACAGAAGGCCAGGAGACUGUGUAUCUGCGGAGACCUGAAGGCACUGAACGACAGUACAGAAAGAAAUGUGCAAAGUGUGGACUGCUGCUCUUCUACCAAUCCCAGCCGAAUAACGCUCCCGUUACCUUCAUUGUGGAUGGAGCAUUAGUCAAGUUUGGCCAGGCCUUUGGGAAAACGAACGUAUAUACUCAGAAACAAGAGCCUCCUAAGAAGGUGAUGAUGACCAAAUGGACCAAAGACAUGGGCAAGUUCACUUCUGUCACUGUGUCUACCAUUGAUGAAGAGGAAGAAGAGAUUGAGGCUAGGGAAGUUGCUGACUCCUAUGCGCAGAAUGCCAAAGUGAUUGAAAAACAGCUGGAGCGCAAAGGCAUGAGCAAGAUGCGACUGCAAGAGCUGGCUGAACUGGAAGCCAAGAAAGCGAAAAUGAAGGGGACCUUGAUUGACAACCAGUUCAAAUAACCAGGCCUUUUUCUGAGCCCUAGACUGGAGGCAAGCAUUUACAUCAGGAGGCAAAAUAAUUUCUUGAUUACAUAGACUGGUUCCUAUUUAUGUUCUAGCAGAAGGCUUUACGUUGUUUCCCAUUGGUUCUCCUACAUUCAGUGAGGUCUUUAACUGAGUCCAUUUGACCUGCUUUCUAAAAGAUGGCUUUUUCUCUGAAUUUUUCUGUAUUGAGGUUUUCUGUACUAUUUUUUGUCUAUUUGUGCAAACUUCUUCAGCUGUGUAGAAACUUUAUGAAUAGAUCAGUGCUUGAGUGUCUCUAGUCUCUAAAGUGGCUGGUUUUAGUCUUUCUUCAAAGUUAAUGUUUCAAGAUUUUUGGACAAAAUAUUAUGGUGUAUCAUAGAGAAAAGCAGCAUGAAUUAUAUUUAAGUAUAGCAAAUCAGAUCCUUUGAGUGACUCUGUCUCUGUUCUUAGAAGGGUUCUUGGAAUUGACUGUGGUUUGAAUCUUUCAACUGUCAGAGGAGACUCAAUAAAAGCCAGAAUCUGCAUAAA